GGCAGGGCUCCCCACAGGAAAGCCUGCAGACCGAUCUCAUUCUAGUGGGAUGUCAAGGACUAUAUUCUGACUUUGGAGCUAGCAACAGCUGUGUUUCAUCUAGGCUGCUCUGCUCACCAGCUAUGCCACCCUGGCCCACAGGCCCUGUGGCUGCCAUUUCCGCAGAAGCAGACCCCGAGACACACCACACAGCUGGGCUGUCCUCAGGGUGAUGGGGACCCAGCAGGACUGGGGGAUGGGCCACCGCCGGGGAGAGCACUCCAGAGCCCACAGGCUAACUGCCCUCAGCUUAUUAAAUGGUGGUUUUGUAACGUCACCCCUGGUUCACGGCAGCCCUGCGAUUUGCUGGAGCCUAGGGUGGUAAAGCUUUGAGGAGGAGCUGUGUGUUCUCUUGGAAUCUCACUAAGGGGUCCAGAGGUGGAGAACCAUUGGCCAGCCUUGACCAUGAACCUUGCACUCAUCAAGAAUAUGGUCUCCUGCUAAUGUGACCACCCCUCACCAAGGAAUCAUCUUCCCACCUGUGUUUUCUCUCUGUCAUGGCACCUCCUGAGGCCUCGCUCCUCCUACAAGCUGUGAAACAGAAAGAGCAUGGCUGGGAAGCAACCUGUCACACACCACCGUGGGGACUCCAAGGCCCACUCAGCUGUGUGAACUCACCUCACUAAGGCCAGGGUCUCCCAAAUCUUAUGCUUUUGUUCAUAACUGAACUUUUCAUCUGACUGCUCUGGAUGGCUCUGCGGCCUUCCCACUCAGCAGAGUGCUAAAAUUAAAGACAGAUGAUGCCACAGGGUGAGGGUGUGGAGGAGCUGGAACUCUCUUACGUUGCUGGUGGGAGCUUAGACUGGCACAGCAGAGAAGGGAAAAGCAUUUCUGAUGAAGUUAACCACGCAUCUACCUGUGGUUCAGCAAUUCCACUGUUGGGCCUUUGCCCAAGAGAAAUGGCAGCGUGUGCCCACACAAAGUUCUAUGCAUGAAUGUUUAUUGCCGCUUUUGUGCAUAACAGCCAUCAAUGGGAAACAACCCAGAUUAUUAAUAGAAAAAUGGAUAAACAAACAGUGGCACAUCCACCAGUGGAAUACUUCUCAGCAGUGCAAAGGAAUGUGCUACUUACACUCACAGAAUCUGGCUAAAUCUCCCAGACAUUGUGCUGAACCAAGGAAGCUGCACAGAGCCUUCCACUAAAUGAGGAUACAGUGAGAGAAGUUUGUGACCUGGAAGGCGGCUCUCACCCCACCAUGCUGGCACCCAGAUCUUGGCCUUCUGGUCUCCAUAUGUGUGGGCACUAAA